AACGAACGCUGGCGGCAUGCCUAACACAUGCAAGUCAAACGAGAUCUUCGGGUCUAGUGGCGCACGGGUGCGUAACGCGUGGGAAUCUGCCCUUUGGUUCGGAAUAACAGUUGGAAACGACUGCUAAUACCGGAUGAUGACGAAAGUCCAAAGAUUUAUCGCCAGAGGAUGGGCCCGCGUAGGAUUAGCUAGUUGGUGUGGUAAAGGCGCACCAAGGCGACGAUCCUUAGCUGGUCUGAGAGGAUGAUCAGCCACACUGGGACUGAGACACGGCCCAGACUCCUACGGGAGGCAGCAGUGGGGAAUAUUGGACAAUGGGCGAAAGCCUGAUCCAGCAAUGCCGCGUGAGUGAUGAAGGCCUUAGGGUUGUAAAGCUCUUUUACCCGGGAUGAUAAUGACAGUACCGGGAGAAUAAGCUCCGGCUAACUCCGUGCCAGCCGCCGCGGUAACAC
rnacentral:rRNA from 1 species